rnacentral:rRNA from 1 species
UACGAAGGGGCUAGCGUUGCUCGGAAUCACUGGGCGUAAAGCGCACGUAGGCGGAUUGCUAAGUCAGGGGUGAAAAUCCCUGGAGCUCAACUCCAGAACUGCCUUUGAUACUGGCGACCUUGAGUCCGGGAGAGGUGAGUGGGAACUGCGAAGUGUAGAGGUGAAAUUCGAUAGAUAUUCGCAAGAACGACCAGUGGCGAAGGCGGUUCACUG